UUCGGGAUGAGUAAAGUGGCGCACGGGUGAGUAAUACAUGGGAACAUGCCCUCGAAUGGGGAAUAACGUUUGGAAACGAACGCUAAUACCGCAUAGUCUCGCAAGAGUAAAGGUGGCGCCGUAAGGGCUACCGUUCGAGGAUUGGCCCAUGUCCCAUUAGCUAGUUGGCAGGGUAAUGGCCUACCAAGGCGACGAUGGGUAACUGGUCUGAGAGGAUGAUCAGUCACACUGGAACUGAGACACGGUCCAGACUCCUACGGGAGGCAGCAGUAGGGAAUAUUGCACAAUGGACGAAAGUCUGAUGCAGCAACGCCGCGUGAGUGAAGAAGGCCCUUGGGUCGUAAAGCUCUUUAGCGAGGAAAGAAGCUGCUUGCGGUGAAUAAUCGCAAGUGGUGACGGUACCUCGAGAAUAAGCACCGGCUAAUUUCGUGCCAGCAGCCGCGGUAAUACGAAAGGUGCGAGCGUUACUCGGAAUCACUGGGCGUAAAGCGCGCGUAGGUCGGCUUGUAGGUCGGUUGUGAAAUACCUGGGCUCAACCCAGGAGGGGCAGCCGAAACCACAAGCCUUGAAUACUUGAGAGGGUGGGGGAAUACCUGGUGGAGAGGUGAAAUUCGUAGAGAUCAGGUGGAACACCGGA
rnacentral:rRNA from 1 species